GAGUUUGAUCAUGGUUCAGGAUGAACGCUGGCGGCGUGCUUAACACAUGCAAGUCGAGCGGAAGUUCUUUUAGACUUCUUCGGAAAGAAGAAAGGACUUUAGCGGCGGACGGGUGAGUAACGCGUGGGGAACCUGCCCCAUACCGGGGGAUAACAGCCGGAAACGGCUGCUAAUACCGCAUAAGCGCACAGCAUCGCAUGAUGCCGUGUGAAAAACUCCGGUGGUAUGGGAUGGACCCGCGUUGGAUUAGCCAGUUGGCAGGGUAACGGCCUACCAAAGCGACGAUCCAUAGCCGGCCUGAGAGGGCGACCGGCCACAUUGGGACUGAGACACGGCCCAAACUCCUACGGGAGGCAGCAGUGGGGAAUAUUGCACAAUGGGCGAAAGCCUGAUGCAGCGACGCCGCGUGAGCGAAGAAGUAUUUCGGUAUGUAAAGCUCUAUCAGCAGGGAAGAAAAUGACGGUACCUGACUAAGAAGCCCCGGCUAACUACGUGCCAGCAGCCGCGGUAAUACGUAGGGGGCAAGCGUUAUCCGGAUUUACUGGGUGUAAAGGGAGCGUAGACGGCUGUGCAAGUCUGAAGUGAAAGCCCGGGGCUCAACCCCGGGACUGCUUUGGA
rnacentral:rRNA from 1 species